rnacentral:rRNA from 1 species
UGAGGAAUAUUGGGCAAUGCCCGCAAGGGUGACCCAGCAACGCCGCGUGGAGGAUGAAUGUCGUAAGAUUGUAAACUCCUGUUAGAGGGGAAGAAUAGUACCGGUUGGACCGGUAUAUGACUGUACCCUCAGAGAAAGCCCCGGCUAACUACGUGCCAGCAGCCGCGGUAAUACGUAGGGGGCAAGCGUUGUCCGGAUUUACUGGGUGUAAAGGGCGCGCAGGCGGGAUAAAAAGUCAGUGGUGCAAUCCUACAGCUUAACUGUAGAACUGCCUUUGAUACUUUUAUUCUUGAGUUCGGGAGAGAGAGACGGAAUGCCAGGUGUAGUGGUGAAAUACGUAGAUAUCUGGAAGAACACCAGUUGCGAAGGCGGUCUCUUGGUCCGACACUGACGCUGAGGCGCGAAAGCGUGGGGAGCAAACA